rnacentral:rRNA from 1 species
CACGUAGGGCGCAAGCGUUGUCCGGAAUCAUUGGGCGUAAAGAGCGUGUAGGCGGCUCGGUAAGUCCGCUCUGAAAGCCCGGGGCUCAACCCCGGGAGGCGGGCGGAUACUGUCGGGCUAGAGUCCGGAAGAGGCGAGUGGAAUUCCUGGUGUAGCGGUGAAAUGCGCAGAUAUCAGGAGGAACACCGGUGGCGAAGGCGGAUCUCUGGGCCAUUACUGACGCUGAGGAGCGAAAGCGUGGGGAGCGAACAGG